rnacentral:rRNA from 1 species
CCUACGGGUGGCAGCAGUGGGGAAUAUUGCACAAUGGGGGAAAGCCUGAUGCAGCGACGCCGCGUGAAGGAAGAAGUAUUUCGGUAUGUAAACUUCUAUCAGAAGGGAGGAAAAUGACGGUAACUGACUAAGAAGCAUCGGCUAACUACGUGCCAGCAGCCGCGGUAAUACGUAGGGGGCAAGCGUUAUCCGGAUUUACUGGGUGUAAAGGGAGCGUAGGCGGGUUUGCAAAGUAGCAGGUAAAGCCCGGGGCUCAACGCCGGGACUGUUUUUGAAAAGGUUUAACUAGAUGGCAGGAGAGGUAAGUGGAAUUCCUAGGGUAGCGGUGAAAUGCGUAGAUAUUAGGAGGAACACCAGUGGCGAAGGCGGCUUACUGGACUGUAAAUGACGCUGAGGCUCGAAAGCGUGGGGAGCAAACAGGAUUAGAUACCCCGGUAGUC